rnacentral:rRNA from 1 species
UACGUAGGGUGCAAGCGUUGUCCGGAAUUAUUGGGCGUAAAGAGCUCGUAGGCGGUCUGUCGCGUCGAAUGUGAAAACCCGGGCGUCUAACCCCGGGCCUGCAUUCGAUACGGGCAGACUAGAGUUCGGUGAGGGAGUCUGGAAUUCCUGGUGUAGCGGUGAAAUGCGCAGAUAUCAGGAGGAACACCGGUGGCGAAGGCGGGACUCUGGGCCGAUACUGACGCUGAGGAGCGAAAGCGUGGGGAGCGAACAGG